ACUGUCUGUUACCUGAGAAAGAGUUAGUAGUAGUUAGGGCUUGAAGGAGCCAGUGACAGGGACCGUUAAGGAUAUGAACUCUAGCGAAGGUCUCUGGCUCGGUGCGUUGGAUAUUGGGAGCAGGCUGUUGAGUUGACGAACAACCCAGAGAUGCCAGUCAGACCUUCAAUGGCCUAUUUUGAGGGGAAAUCCUAUUGCUUAAGUAAAGAAUGGCAAUGACACCAAAAUUUAAGUCCUGCGGUCAAAGCCCAUACUUCCAGUGUCUGUGCUUCAGAGUGGUGCUGCUGACUGGGAUAUAACAAGCUGGCUUGCAGAUAAGGGGUGGUGCUUGGAACACAAAUGUUUUGAAUAUUAUGCCAGCCUUGUGGAUCAUUGACGCAGGUAACCAAUGAAGAUGGAAAUGGACGAGAGUUAUAUGCUGCAUCUAACCAGCCCCAAACAACUAUCUUGCUGUGGCAUUUUGGACCAAUGGAAAUUUCUAAAUGCUUUUCAAUGGCAGUUGUACAUAAAGAGCACAUUACAAUAGUCAGCUGUGGAGGUCAUUAAGCAAGAACAACUGUGGCUUGGUCUGGGACAUCCUAACACACAAAGGGCUAUUAAAUUAGCAAAAUACAGAACCUACUUGGUUAGUUGCUUAUUUUCUCGAUUAAAACUGCUUGUAUUUUA